GGGUUUAUAGCUCAAUUUGGAAGAGCAGCGGAUUUCUAAUCCGAAGGUUACAGGUUCGAAUCCUGUUAGACCCG
rnacentral:tRNA from 1 species